rnacentral:lncRNA from 1 species
UUCAAACAUACCUAAAUCCAUAUACUUAUGCAGUAUCCUGCUAUUAGAAACAGUAUUUUAGUGCUGGAAUGAAAAUAGCGUAUAGUGGAGAUGCAGAAGUUAUUUAGAAUUACAGAAAAACAAGGAGAGAAUGGCCCUUAAAAAAUUGCAGAGGUCAUUAUAAAUUUUUUGGAAAACAGUAGUUCAAUAUGGGACUGGAAAAUCAGCUUGGUUGAACACAUAUAGGUGAAAAAAUAAGACAGGAAUUUAGUAGUAAAAAUCAAACUGACUUCAGGGAGGAAGAUUAGUUUGGGCCACUUAAAGAGGUCGAAUGGCUAAUACAAUUAAUCAGUUUUAUCUAGACCAAGGCUUGCCUAAGCAUUGUGAAAGAAAGCAGACAUGCACAUCAUUUUUCAGUUUUAGAAAACCAGUUUAUGUGAUUGAAUAAUUAAUAGGAUGGCCAAACAUUGCAAAUCGACUCCUAAUUACAUGAUAUCUAAUGCACGUGAUGGUCCUAAGAUAGGAUAUCUAAAUGCAGUAGUAGAGUUUAA